AUUGUUGAGAGUAUACCCUUUGUGGGAGUUGGGAAUGUCCAAAGCACAAAAAGUGCCUUGGAGUUGAGUCCGCGAGAGCAAAUGAGGCAAAUGGCAUCAUUGGGCAGAAGUUGCUCUCGGGGACCGGUCUCUUCAGGUGAGAGACCGGUUCCCCUCGCUGGUUGUAGCGGGGUUGCGUGAUGCAACCGGUCCCUGGCAGGGAGGGACCGGUUCCCGAACGUGGUCGCAGCGAGAGAAGCCAAAAAUUGGCUAAGUCCUGAAAAUCAAGCUCUCGGGGACCGGUCUCUCAGGUGAGGACCGGUCUCCCGGGGAGAGACCGGUUCCCGAACGCGUGCGCCCGAGGGAAGCUCUCGGGGACCGGUCCCAAGUCGGGGAGACCGGUCCCUCCGCGCGAAAACUGCCCAGUAAGGGCUGUGCAAGGGGUUAAAAGUUGAGGGGUCUAAAUGCAAAAUGGCCUUUAUUAGAGUGGGCUGAGCCCUCUCUCUCCCUCACACUCUCUCAUUUCACUCUCUCACUCUCAUUUCUCUCUUGCUCU
rnacentral:lncRNA from 1 species